rnacentral:tRNA from 1 species
CGGGGCGUAGCGCAGCUUGGUAGCGCACUUGUCUCGGGUGCAAGGGGUCGGAGGUUCGAAUCCUCUCGCCCCGACCA